UCAUAGCUAUGAACGUCAGUUCAAUGGUAAGGGGUAGCAUAUUGCAGUUAGCAGGCAUGUAAGAAAGAAUUAUACCAUACUGCUAUAGUCAGACAACGACAAAGUUGGAAUUCAAGUGGUUUCACAAAGAAAAUAAAAGGAAAGAAUUGUAUGAACCUUAGGAAUAUGUCCUGGAAUAAAAGACUAAAAAGUGAAGGAUUUGAACAAAAGAAUGUUACAAAUUGCACUAUGAUAGUUCAUGGGUCAAAAAAAAUUGAGAAAUGUUUCGGAAUGUUCCAUGAAUUAUUUACUUAGAGUAUCCAUAUUGAAUAUUACAUCAUUGUGAUAGAACUGGAUUAAAAAAAUUUUGAUGCUGCAACAAGAAAAGAUGAGGUCUCAAAUGUAUUUUAGCGUAGCCAUAAAUAUAUGGCCAGCAGACUGUGUUCAUGUUGUGUGAGUAUGCGCAUGUGUUUUUGUGUGCAUUUGUUUGUAUUUUCUCUUUAUUUCCUGAAAUCCAACCAUGUCAAGAACAAGAAUUACCAAAAACCAACCAAACAAAUUGAGUAUGCUGACUAUGCUUUGAAAUUCCGACAAACGAUUUGUUCAAAUUAGAAAGAAUUAUCAUCUCUCAGAUAAAAUAUAUUGUUUCUGCAACUCCAUACUGAAAUUACCACUAAAUGAUCUGCUGUCGUUCUUGCCUGCAGAAAGAAGAAUAUUCAGUAAAUAAUCCUCUUCUACCAAGUUCAACAAAAAGACAUUCUGGUCAAUGAAUAUGAAUGAUGGUUAUGCACACCUGCGCAUCAGGAGCUGGUUUCUGAUACUGAUUUUGAGCCAUCUCUCUCAGUUCUGCAACAAAAUUACUGAUACUGGAAACUUCUCAAGGAAGCCAUUAGAUGGUGUCUUAUUAUUUUGUUCUCUGUCCUUGAACCAACAAAUUGAACCAGUCAUCAGACUUGCUCUGCAACUUCUACUUCUAGAAAGUGCCAAGUCUCUAGAGCUCAUUAUAU